rnacentral:rRNA from 1 species
UACGAAGGAUCCAAGCGUUAUCCGGAUUUAUUGGGUUUAAAGGGUGCGUAGGCGGCUUAUUAAGUCAGUGGUGAAAGCCUGAUGCUUAACAUCAGAACUGCCAUUGAUACUGAUGAGCUUGAAUAUACUUGAGGUAGGCGGAAUGUGUCAUGUAGCGGUGAAAUGCUUAGAUAUGACACAGAACACCGAUUGCGAAGGCAGCUUGCUAAAGUAUGAUUGACGCUGAGGCACUAAAGCGUGGGGAUCAAACGGG